UCAUGGACAUUCCCCACGCACUGUUCGAGGAGAAGCUUGAAGCCAUGAAGGAAGCCAAGGGGGUGAAGAACGACAAUGACCUGACUGCCUCUGACCUCAAAGAGCUGGUGGCUCAGUACAAGGAGGUCUACGUCGAAGCCAAGGGGGAGCCAUUUCCCUCAGGUAUGCCCACCGCAGCCUCACCCUCAGUUGAUAAUAUCUGUAUGAAAAAAAAAAUUCUCUUGAAACUAAAGCUGUUUCUUUGCAUCAAACUUAUGCAUGCCUUUACCUUGUUUUGUCUUGCAGAUCCCAAGAAGCAGCUUGAGCUAGCAGUGUUGGCUGUGUUCAACUCGUGGGACAGCCCCAGGGCCAACAAGUACAGGAGCAUUAACCAGAUCACUGGUCUGAAAGGCACUGCUGUGAACGUGCAGUCCAUGGUGUUUGGCAACAUGGGGGACACUUCUGGCACUGGCGUGCUCUUCACUAGGAAUCCUAGCACUGGAGAGAAGAAGCUGUAUGGCGAGUUCCUGGUGAAUGCUCAGGUAUGGACCAGUUUCUGUUGUGCCUAUUUGAUUCACAAUCUUAGCUGCCCUGUUUGAUCAAGUUAUUUUACACAAGUUAUAUUAAACAUGCAGUAGUAUCAACGAAUCUGUAUAAUGUAUGUGUGUUUCUGGUUCAGGGUGAGGAUGUGGUUGCUGGAAUCAGAACCCCGGAGGAUCUUGAUGCCAUGAAGGCACAGAUGCCGGAUGCUUAUGUAGAGCUCGUUGAGAACUGCAAGAUACUGGAGAGCCACUACAAAGAAAUGAUGGUACCUUAUUAUUGCAUUUUCAACCUUUACUGCACCAUUUAUUUUUGAGCUAUAUUUAAACAUGAUCUCUUUAAUAAUUUGCAACAUAAGCGCACUUGAAUACUGGUGUUGCUUCAAUGUGUUCUGUAGAUUGGCAUUGUGUCUCUGUUACUGCCAUUGGCCAUGAUCUCAGACUUGCUUGCUUUUUAUGCAUGAUGCAGGACAUUGAAUUUACCGUUCAGGAAAAUAGGCUCUGGAUGUUACAGUGCAGAUCAGGAAAACGUACAGGCCAAGGGGCGGUAAAGAUUGCUGUGGACAUGGUUAAUGAGGGUCUUGUUGAGCGCCGUCAAGCGAUUAAGAUGGUAGAGCCAGGCCACCUGGACCAGCUUCUCCAUCCUCAGGUAAUGGAUAACCAUGAGGCCCGUAAACUGAUUGUGCCUUACUUGAAAUUCAGUACUCUUAUAAGUUUGGCCUUACUUGGAAUUCACUUUAUAAGUUAAGUACUGGAUAUGUAUUAACAUCACUGUUUUAAUCUUGUCCAAUGAAAACCAGUUUGAGAACCCAUCAGCAUACAAGGAUCAAGUAAUCGCUACAGGCUUACCAGCUUCACCUGGGGCUGCUGUGGGCCAAAUUGUAUUUACUGCAGAGGACGCUGAAGCAUGGCAUGCCCAAGGGAAAGCUGCUAUCCUGGUAAACACCAUUUUAUCCUCAUUUUUAAGAAAAAAAGGUCUUCUGCAGUUUUUGUGUCAUUUUGAUCUGGACUUUGUGCUUCGAUGAAAAGAUCUGUUAAUUGAGCAAAACUGGUCUAUUUACUGGACCUGUUAGAAUAGUUGCUUGCAGAGUUACAGUCACAAAAAUCCCACUUAUCACAGACAGCCAUUUUUGAAAUGCAUAUGGAAGCUCCAAGUCGUAUCGCUUCAUCUUUUGCAUUCUGAGAAUUUUUUCUUUGCAAAUAUAUAGGUGAGGACAGAGACCAGCCCAGAGGAUGUUGGUGGCAUGCACGCAGCUGUUGGAAUUCUUACAGCAAGAGGUGGGAUGACCUCUCAUGCUGCUGUGGUAGCACGUGGUUGGGGAAAAUGUUGUGUCUCAGGAUGCUCAAGCGUUCUCGUAAAUGAUGCUGAGAAGGUGAAUAGAAUUCUUGUUUGCACAUCUUCUUCUUUGUAGAAGGUGACAUGCCAUGUUAAAGUUUGUAACAGGAUUAUGACAUUCUUUGUAGAUGUGCUCCGUCCGCCAUUUUUAAGUUCUUAUUAACGAGAUUUUGAGGAUGUAGAUGUUUCCUUACUUUGCUAUGUCUACAUUUACAGUCUGUAGUGAUUGGAGACAAGGUGAUGCAUGAAGGUGAGUGGCUAUCACUGAAUGGAUCUACUGGUGAAGUCAUCGUGGGGAAGCAGCCACUUUCCCCACCAGUCCUCAGUGGUGAUCUGGGAACCUUCAUGUCCUGGGUAGAUGAAGUUAGGCAACUGAAGGUAAAUUCCUAGAAAUAACAAAUAUGUAAUAUUAGUUAAAACAUGGAUACAAACUGUUGGAAGUAGAAACCAACAAAAAGGGCAUCAGAUUAUUUAUUCAGACAGGCCAAAGCUAGUCAACCCCACUACACAUUUUUCAACAGAAAUGCUUAUUCGUACAUAUGAUCCACCUUCCAGGUUUUGGCUAAUGCGGAUACCCCUGAGGAUGCACUGACAGCAAGAAACAAUGGGGCAGAAGGAAUUGGACUAUGCCGGACGGAGCACAUGGUAUGUAUUUUAGUUACUGUCCAAUAUCUUUUGGGUGGGAUCUUGGAAAACUUACUCUUUCUUGAAUUCCUUCGUCGAACAGUUGGGUAAACUUUAAGGACCUCCCGUUCUAGUCUCAUGUUCUCCUUUUCUGCACUUUGGCAGUUCUUUGCUUCGGAUGAGAGGAUUAAGGCUGUGAGGCAGAUGAUUAUGGCUCCCACACUUGAACUGAGGCAGAAGGCACUAGAUCGUCUUUUGCCUUAUCAGAGGUCUGACUUUGAAGGCAUUUUCCGUGCUAUGGAUGGUAUGUGAAAAUCACGAUGCAUUCAUUUACAUGCUCUCCAAUUGAACUGGAUGCACUAGUGUUACUGAACAUAACAAGAGUAAGCAACCUUCUUAAAUAGACAACAUUGACUACUAAUGUAAAGUGAAAAGGUAGACAAGUUUUAAACCUUAGGAUGCAAAAUACUUCAAAAAUAAGAACGAAAUUGGGCCAGUAACAUAUUGCAUCAAUUAUUUAACUUGGUAACAUAAAGUUCUGCUAUGAUUUAUCCAUUAGUUUUUUUUAAUCUUUUAUAGCGAGUGGUAUAUGUACAUGUUUCAUGGAAACAGAUAUAGAAUUAAACUACUAGAAUAAAUUUUAACAUGUAUUGUAGUUAGUUCCACAGUAUGUAUUUUAAAGUGCGGAAUGGAUUUGAACAUUAUUUUUUUUGCAUUUCAGGGCUUUCAGUGACUAUUCGGCUUCUGGACCCCCCACUUCAUGAGUUUCUUCCUGACGGGAAUGUUGAAGACAUUGUGCGUGAAUUAUGUUCUGAAACUGGAGCCAAUCAGGAGGAAGCCCUUGCAAGAAUUGAAAGUCUUUCAGAAGUAAAUCCAAUGCUUGGUUUCCGUGGGUGCAGGUUGGUUUUUGUGCUCCGUUUAAAUCAGUCACCCCCCCUCCUUGAUCCAUUUGGUUCCCUUGUUAGUGAAAUAUUAAAAAGAAUAAACUCUGUAUAUUUACCUCGACUAAUAUUGGAACUGCUAAAAUUCCAGGCUCGGUAUAUCAUAUCCUGAGCUAACAGAAAUGCAAGCCCGUGCCAUCUUUGAAGCUGCUAUAGCGAUGACCAACCAGGGUGUUCAAGUUUUCCCAGAGAUAAUGGUUCCUCUUGUUGGGACACCUCAGGCAUGCAUCUUUAUUUCCUUAUUUGUGCAUAUGGUAUCUCUGCAGUUCAUGGUGUUCAAAAUGACAAAAUCAAAAUUGAAUAAACAACCAAGUUCUGUACACAUGUAAUUUACGAUUUUAUGCAAACAUCAAGUUGACCUACACCCAAUUUCCCACCAAAUUCAUUUCUUGAAAUUUUCUCUCUCGAAUUCUAAGUUUAUUGCUUUCACUUGAUUUUUCCUUCAGACAUCUGACAUUUGACUUUUGCAGGAACUGGGGAAUCAAGUGGCCCUUAUCCGUGAAACUGCUAACAAAGUUUUCGCUGCUCUGGGUAAAACCAUUGACUACAAAAUUGGAACUAUGAUUGAAAUUCCGAGGGCAGCUCUAGUAGCUGAUGAGGUAGGAAGCAUCUAACUCCCUUCAGAAUAAUCUUAAAUAUUGCUGUUUAGGUUUAGCUUUUAGAUCAUAUUUUUCAUGAAUGGUUUAGUAAUAGAACCCCGGAUUUUUACUCUAAAACAUGUGAAUAGUAACUGAUGGUAUGAAUUUAUUAAGUGCAAAUAAUAAGUUUAUCCUCUAAUUUAAAAAAAAAACUGACAUUCUUGUUUUGGUUUCACAACCUGACAGAUAGCAGAGCAGGCUGAAUUCUUCUCUUUUGGAACGAACGACCUCACACAGAUGACAUUUGGCUACAGCAGGGAUGAUGUGGGGAAGUUUCUUCCCAUUUAUCUGUCUCAGGGUAUCCUCCAACAUGAUCCCUUUGAGGUAAAAUUUUAGCAGCUCUCACCCUUCAGUUUUAGAUGAUAUACCUGCAUUUUCAUCAUCCACUCUUGUUUUUCAAGGAAUAUUUCCAUCAUCCACAGAUGCGAGCAUCUCAUGUCCUCUAGGCAUUUUUCAUGUCCUUGACUUUUGGUUACGUGCAUGCUCUGGUAAAAUUCAACCUAGUAACUUGCCCAUUGAAUGUUGAUAAACAUAUCAGGUGCUGGAUCAGAGGGGAGUGGGCGAGCUGGUUAAGUUUGCUACAGAGAGGGGUCGCAAAGCUAGGCCUAACUUGAAGGUUAGUUUUUGGGACUUGUGGACAUUGGCUCUUUUCCUUAGAAAUCAUGGUUUCAUUGUUUGGUGCUGUCUGCAAACAGGUGGGCAUCUGUGGAGAACACGGUGGGGAGCCUUCGUCAGUUGCAUUCUUUGCAAAGUCGGGGCUGGAUUAUGUUUCUUGCUCGCCUUUCAGGUUGGUCAAGUGAUAAACUCAAGAUACAACUCCCAGAUUCAUAACUGUAGCAAAACCUUAACUACUUUUUAUGAAAUAUCUUGUGCAGGGUUCCCAUCGCCAGGCUAGCUGCAGCUCAGGUGCUCGUCUGAGGGCACCGCCUCAUCGGCAACCGGAUCACCUGCUGUUGGUGCGUCUGGUGAAGAAUACUAAUACAAAGCCAUGGAACGGUGGAACUCUGCUGCCUGGCAAAGGCCGUUGUAUCUUGUAUGAAGUCUCCGUGCGCGUGCGCAUGUAAGACUUAAUGUGUGGUUUUCUGCAUUUUCCCUUGAACUACCAUGGUAAUGUAGUACCAAACAGAGAUGAUGACGAAGAACAAUCGAAUAAAUUAAUUGGCGAUUAC
rnacentral:lncRNA from 1 species